UGUUUUGUGGAAGCAUCUACUGGGCCUAUCGUAUGGAGGAAAAAACAAACCACUGUUGUGGGUAAAGAGAAACUUCAUAUGAAGAAAGUGACUGGGAAGUAUUAGAAAGGAAUGGAUUUAACAAAGGAGACUAUAACUGUUAGGAAACGGAACUCCUGGCUUCACACUAUGGGCCCUGAAAGGUUUACUUCUGCAUCUUUUAUUUGCGUGGGUUUUCCUACGAAGUCAAUGGGACCAUGGAAUGGGUAACAGUGGCAUGAGUGAGAAAGAAAAUAAGGAAAUUCUCAGAGUCCAUUAUUUAUGGAGGUGUUGAGCAUGACAACAAUAAUGAAAUGGAGGCUGUACUUCAAGAUCAUGGCUCCUGGAGAAUGAUAGACUUCAGCAAAUGGAAAUUAGUGCCUGACUUUGAUCUUACCCUGGAUUAUUUAAACCUCAGGCAGAAGUUCAUUUUAUGAAAACUGUAAUGGCCUGUUUUGUCAGGAAACACAAAUGUUCUUUUUAGGGAUUCAAACAACAUUAUAUAUCGAAAAGCACAAGACAGUAAAAAAGA